UAAGCGGAGGAAAAGAAACCAACAGGGAUUGCCCCCAGUAACUGCGAGUGAAGCGGCAACAGCCCAGAUUUGAAAUCCGACUCUUUUACCAGAGUUUGAGUUGUAAUCUGUAGAGGAUGUCGCUGACGGAAAGAUGCUUCUAAGUCCCCUGGAACGGGGUGCCAUAGAGGGUGAGAGCCCCGUACGGAGCUGUCUGAACGGUCAAGAUGCGGCUCCUUCGACGAGUCGAGUAGUUUGGGAAUGCUGCUCUAAACGGGGAGGUAAAUUCCUUCCAAGGCUAAAUAUCGGCCGGAGACCGAUAGCGCACAAGUAGAGUGAUCGAAAGAUGAAAAGUACUUUGAAAAGAGGGUUAAACAGUACGUGAAAUUGUUGAAAGGGAAGCGCCCGCGACUAGACUUGUACCUGACUGAUCGCUCUACGUUCGUCGUAGAGUCUCCCAGUCAUGGUUUGCAGGCCAGCAUCGGUUUGCGCUGGGGGACAAGCACAGUGGGAACGUAGCUCAUCUCAUGGUGAGUGUUAUAGCCUGUUAUAUAGUACCCUGGCGUGGAUCGAGGAACGCGUCUUUGACACGGAUGCUGGCAUAAUGGUCGUUGACGACCCGUCUUGAACCACGGACCCA
rnacentral:rRNA from 1 species